GUAGCCGCAUGUCGGUGGAAAUUAAACACGCCGAGUUUUGGCUGAAAGAAAACCUAUUCUCUGUCAAUUAUUCCUACGAACGCAACGUUGAGCUGCAAACACCUCAACAAAGUCACUCAUCGUCUUCUAUGUCAUACUUAAAUACAUUUUUCCACGAGUGUGGGCCCAGCAACCCCCUUACACCUUUCUGCAGUGAACUCAUUUAUAAUAACCUUGGUAAGAGCCAGUUGAGCACUUGAAGAACGAGAGAGGCUGAACGGCAAACAUGGCGGAGACCGUACGGUCGUCCCACGAGUACCACGAGGCACACACAUAUGACAGGGAAAGGGACAGCGCCAAAGCGGCCGCACCGCUGCGAGGGGUGUCAGACGACAACCAUUUGCUCGGCAAGACAGAUGGUGGUGAUGACGCCGAUUGGCGGCUCGACACUUCAUGAAAGGAAAACUGGCAUGCCACUCCGAAAAGCUGUUUCGUCCUGGAAUUCCUUGCCUUCCAAUAAUCUUGCACAGUUGGAAGUGAAACCAAAGACAUGUACAAGAGGAGUCCAAUAAAUUUUUCAAGCUCCUCCGCUGUAGUGUCUGUCCACACAAACUUUUUCCCAAUCUCUUUUCGGACUCUGCCAUACUGGUUUGUGUGUUUGCACAUAUUCAUCAUUGUCGAUGAGGUGAAGAACAGGUCAAAAAGUUCUUUUGGGGUGUAUGCAUGUUCACGAUUCACCUGAGGUCCUGGUGGUCUCCGGGGUGUGAACCGGCUGCACUGUGGGGCAGUGUCUGUGUCUUGCUCUGUGCUCCAUGGCACAGGUGCAGGCUGAGCCAGUGGUGAUCGGCUUCUGCCGCGCUGACUUCUCCAGCCUCUCCUCCGCUGACAUCUCAUCGCUCUUCCAUGAUGACCCCUUCUCCCUCGUCCUCUUUCCAUUCGGGCAGUGAAUGUAGAUUUUUCAUUGUCACUAUAAAUGUACAUGAAAAAAAAGUCAGUAUUUAUGAAAAUAAUAAAGUAUAAAAUAAAAAUAUAUACAGCAAUAAAUAAUAAUGGAAAUCUAUAUGUAUGACAA